rnacentral:lncRNA from 1 species
GCUCUCUCUUCCCACUCAGCACCCACGAACCCAGAAACACCGAAAACCAUCACCAGUCUCAUCCUUCAGUUCUCAAUUGGAUUCCACAGUGUAAACCCAGAAACUAAAGGUAAGAAAAUUCAAUUUUGUUUUCGGUUUCUUAUUUACUUUCAAUGUUACUUUCUUAUUAGAUUAUUAUUUUUGAUAAACCCACUUAGAAUCUGAUUUGGGGUUUCCUUGGAUUCUAAAGUAAAACCUUGAAACUUAAAGGUAGGAAAAUUUCAAUUUAUUUAUUUAUUUAUUUACUGUGUUGAUAUCUGAUUAAUACUAUUUUUCAUAAACCCACCUAGAAUCUGAUAUGGGUUUUGCUUAAAUUCAUCUUGGGGUUUUUUAAUUUUAAGUUUUAUAAUUUUCUGGUGCACCUGUGAUUAAAUAUUCAGAUAAAUUUAACGGGAUGGGUUUUUAUUUUUAUUUUUUUAAUUGCUGUAGUUUAUGCAAAGAGCAACUUACAAAGAGGUGAAGAAAAAAAAGUAUGUCAAACCAUUGCUCAUCACUUCAGGUACCUUUUGACCUUUUGCAUGUCAAGAUAUGCUUCAAUUUUGUUAGGUAUUAUUUUUGUUUUAGUUUUG